UACGAAGGGGGCUAGCGUUGUUCGGAUUUACUGGGCGUAAAGCGCACGUAGGCGGAUCGUUAAGUCGGGGGUGAAAUCCUGGGGCUCAACCCCAGAACUGCCUUCGAUACUGGCGAUCUCGAGUCCGGAAGAGGUGAGUGGAACUCCUAGUGUAGAGGUGGAAUUCGUAGAUAUUAGGAAGAACACCAGUGGCGAAGGCGGCUCACUGGUCCGGUACUGACGCUG
rnacentral:rRNA from 1 species